rnacentral:misc_RNA from 1 species
CCAUAUGGAAAACGGGUAAAGGGCCAUAAGCAGGUGCAUAAACAAAACAGUUUGAGCGCUUAAUGGAAAAACAAGCACCCAAAUAUACAUACGUGACAAUUUUCUAAGGAUCGUUAAGACAUGGGACUAAUUUUUUGAAGUUAUUUUCUAAGAUUUAACUUUCAUAUAUGUAUAUCCAUAUGCUUAUUUGCUUAUACCAAAUCAAACUACAUGACUCCGAUUAAAAAAUCGAACAUUUUAUGCUUUUUCCUUAAUUAAAUUUGGUGAAAAAAAAAAAAAACCCCUUAUCUCCAUACAAUGAUAAUUAGUGCAUUCGCCUCUACCACUACCAUUCCAUUUCCCCAAUUCCUACCAAUUUGUUUUGAACUGAGUUAAAUCAAGAACUGCACCCAUCUGUUCUUUUUUGUAUUUUUUUUUCACUAGUCACAAAUGUUGGAAUAGAGGAUCAGAAGCCCCAAACUGCAAUUAUCUGUUUUUCUUUUUUCACCCAUCACAGAUGCCAGCGGAAGAGAGCAGACCCAAACUGCAAUUAUCUUUUCUCCUUUUUUUUUUUUUUCACACAUCACAAAUGACUAUGGAAGAGAGUAGAGGAUCAGAAGCCCCAGUAACAACAACACCCUUCCUUCUAACACCCAGCAAAUAAUCCAAAGCCCUCUCUGUAAUAAUCUCACCAGGAAUCAUUACAGGAAUCCCUGGUGGGUAUGGACAUAUAAGCUCACCGCAGACCUUCCCAAGGCUCUCUCUAAUACCCACUUUCCUUUUAUUCGCAAAAAAGGCAUCUCUUGGAUUCAAGCUCAUGCUAAUAUCAGUAAAGGGUGCAUGGCCUCUAUCCUUCACCUUUGUUUCUGUUGUUUCAAUUUGUAAGGAACAUGCUGAUAGCUCCUGUAAUCCUGACACUAGCCUUUGAACAUGCUCUUUACAAGUUCCAAGAUUAAAUGCAAAUGUAAUAGAUUGGCUUCCAACAAGCUCAGAUACAAUUCCAUGAUUCCCAUACAAAAUAUCAUCUGCUUCGUAACCAGAUAAACCAAGCUGCCAAGAACCAAUGGUAAGGCGCAGAGGAUCAAUGGUGGGAAAUUCAGUGAAGCUUGGUAGCUCAAGCAAAGUAAUACCUGGGAUCUUUUUAAUGAGAAUUUUUGCUUCAGUAGCCAACUUCAUUGCUUUGUUGAAAAUUGUUUCUGGGUUUUCACUAAGUUGAGCUCUAGCAGCAUCUAAUGAUGCUAAAAGUAGAUAACUGGGGCUUGUGCUUUGAAGGGUUUGAAGGGACCUACAAAUUUUCUCCCUAUCCACAACAUUUCCUGACAUGUGUAACAUUGAUGACUGUGUGAAAGAGCAUAGAACUUUGUGAGUGGAUUGUACCACCAGAUCAGCGCCCUGCUUCAAUGCUGAAUGAGGCAUUUGGGGAUGAAAUCCCAAGUGUGCUCCAUGAGCCUCAUCAACAAUCACAGGAAUUCCAUAAGAAUGACAAAGCUGUGAAAUCUCAGUCAAGUUGCUGCAUAUGCCAUGGUAAGUAGGGGAGAUGACAAAAACAGCAGCUGGUUUCUGACCUUCCAUCUCCAAUUCCUUAAUAGCUUUGUUCACCUGUGAUGGAGUGAUCCCACCAGCAAUGUCCCAAUUACAAUUAUACUCUGGUAUGAUGUACUUAGGUAUUGCUCCAGAUAAUACCAUUGCGGAUAUGGCCGAUAUAUGGGAAUUGCGAGGAAGAAUUAUAUGUUCUCCAGGGGAGCAAGUUGCCAUUAUUGCUGCCUGAAUCCCACAUGUCGUACCUCCAAUGAGGAACCAUGUUUCCUGUGAUCCAAACAAUUUAGCAGCUAGCUUUUGUGCCUCUAAAAUGGGCCCCUCAGGUGAAAAAAGGUUGUCGAGCUCCGGAAGCUCAGGCAAAUCAUAAAUAAAUGGUUUUAAUCCGAUGAGCUUUGUUAAUGAAGAUGGUGCAGCAUGCCCUCUAUUAUGGCCAGGGAAGUGAAAACUGGCCGCAUUUUGUGCAGCUGAAGCUUUCAAUGCACUAACCAAUGGAGGGAGCCCAUGCUGCUGACUCAUAUGAGAUUUGGAAAUGAGAGAUUCAUCUUUCGUGACUGAUGUGGUUUUUCCUAUUCCACUACUUCUCCGUUGUCUCUUUUUUGAUUGCAAAGUGCUCCUUUCCUGAGUAGGAAUGCAAGUCCCUGUUCUUCUUCUCAAGGACCUCAAAGUCUUGUUGCUGGAAAAACCCAAGUGAAGAUUCUGAAGGUCCAGAGAGGGCGAAGAGACAGAAAUCAUUGCUUGGCUUUGUCGUCAAGAGCUAUCCUCCAGAGAUGCAUCCCACGAUGUCCAAGGUAAU